UCUAUACCUUGUAGAUCAUGAGUUUGCUGCAAAUAAACUCAGAAGGUUUGUGAUCGAUGUCCUAAGUUGGUGGACUUGUAGGAUUGCUUCUGUUUCUGAGAGGCUAAAAUUAGUGGUAAUCCUAAAACAAACACUGCUCUGAUCAGAAGUCGUCAUGUUUGACUAGACCUCUGGAUCAUGUCUGCAUGCAGUAUGCAGGAUUCAAAUGAAUGCUGGGAAGUAAACUUUACUGGUUGAAAUUGGAAUUUGAUUGAAACAGAACCACAAAUUACACACAGGGGUAGGCAACCUUCGG